rnacentral:misc_RNA from 1 species
GAUGAAGAACGCAGCGAAAUGCGAUACGUAAUGUGAAUUGCAAAUUCAGUGAAUCAUCGAGUCUUUGAACGCACAUUGCGCCCCCUGGUAUUCCGGGGGGCAUGCCUGUCCGAGCGUCAUUGCUGCCCUCAAGCACGGCUUGUGUGUUGGGCCCCGUCCUCCGAUCCCGGGGGACGGGCCCGAAAGGCAGCGGCGGCACCGCGUCCGGUCCUCGAGCGUAUGGGGCUUUGUCACCCGCUCUGUAGGCCCGGCCGGCGCUUGCCGAUCAACCCAAAUUUUUAUCCAGGUUGACCUCGGAUCAGGUAGGGAUACCCGCUGAACUUAAGCAUAUCAAUAGAGGA